CCACGAUCGAUUGAUUUAAUUUCCACCUAUUCGCUGCCAAAGUCAAACUCACAAUGUCGCGCAAAACCCUCGGCGAAAAGAAAAAAAGUCACAUCUCGCGUGUCACUUACAACUUCGCGCUGAGCAAAGAAAUCGAAAAUGCGAUGAUUUGGCGCCAAUCCUUGGAACUGAGGGAUAUUGUACGCGGUAAAAGUAUAGAUGUCACACCCAAGCUCAUCGAUACCGAUACGCGGUCAACGCUUCGAUUUCGCAGUAUAGCCACCUAUGCCGAAGAUCUUAUAAAACAAAUGACCAAAAGCUCCAGCGUACAAAGUUUCAAUAGUCGCCGAAUAAGCAUAAGUUCAGUGAAAGCCAAGUCCAGUACACGUCUGGGUCUGAAACUUUCACUAGACGAAAUCAUACAAGCAAUUGGAUCGAGCGGUUCACUCCACGAAUAUCAUCACUAUUACCAUGAAAUUACUUUCGCCAAGCGAGAACCUUUACCUUUUAUAAAAGUGGUUUUGCGCAAGUCGCCCGAAUUCGUGUUAUACCAUCAAAACAGUUUUACCGUACCGAAAGGCAGUGCAGAAGCCGAUGUUGUCGAACAUGACAAUCGCAUUUACGAUUACCUAACAAUAGGUAAGGGCAAAGUACGUCGGCGUUCCGAUGCCGAAACGCAGACAGUCGGUGUGCUGAUGAAGCCGCGCACUGUCAGUACAAACGUAAAGAAAUUCGGCGAAAGGGCAGCUUACGUAUCGUUUUUCGAAAUGUUCGACACCUACCAACAACUGCUCCAAACACCGACCGCGCUCAAUGAGCGUCAUUCACUUAGUACGGGCGUUUUAGAUUUAAUUGCAAAAAAUCCACAAUUCUCCUACGCGGCCAUGGUGUUGGAACGUAUAUUGGCUAGCAAUUGUUAUCAUCAGGGACAACGCCGUUAUCGCAACAUGAAUAUACCCACUAAAAUGGACAAAUACGCCGAGUAUAAAUACUCGUUGAAUCUUCUCUAUCGCUUGAUACAGCCCAAAUUUCAAGGUGGCCUGGAUAAGCGGCGCAAAGCUAUUGCUGCUCUAAGUUUUUGUCAUGGCAAUGGUGAUUUAAUAGCCGUCGCAUAUGGUUUCUAUUCGGAUGCUUCGAAAGUUACCGUGCCGAAUGGUAACGUCUGCGUUUGGAGUAUGAAGAAUCCACAAAACCCGGAACGCCACUACAGCUAUCCAGUGCCGGUAUCAGCAGUUGAGUUCUCACCAUUUUUACCUUUUCUCCUUGCCAUUGGCCUAUACGAUGGCACAGUGCAAGUGCGAAACAUAACAAAACCGGACUAUCCGCCGGUUGCGAUUUCGCAGCGCAGCGUUUUAUUGAGCUGUGAACCGGUGACCGCUAUACAAUGGAUUCGCCAAACACAAGAGAAUGCCGCCGAAGCAGAUCCAUUUUUAGCGUUAACUCGUGAUGGCAAAGUAGCGAAAUUCCGCAUUAUAGCGAGCCCAUAUCUGUUGGGUAUGCGUCAGAUGGAGCUACUGCGCAUCGAAGGCAAUCCUGAAGGGUUUCAAUCCAAAAAUAUUGUAAUGAACGAAGAAAAGUCGCUCGAUUCGGGACGUAGCGCUAGCGGUUUGCAUCUAGUUAUGCAUCCGGUGCAAAGCGAUAUCUAUUACAUACUCACUGACGAAGGUUGCAUACAGAAGUGCUCGCUGAAUCACACACAUCAUUAUUUGGAAAUGUUGAAGGUUCAUGAGGGCUCAGUUAACCAUAUGGAUUUCUCACCUUGGUCACCGAAACUGUUUCUAACCUGCGGCAAUGAUUGGACAAUUCGCAUUUGGCUGGAGGGUAUUUUUCAGCCUCUAAUAACCCUUUGCGAUCGCUAUAUGCCAGUUCAUUGUGCCAUGUGGAGUCGUACUCACUCAACGGUAAUUAUUGCUGUCAAUCGUGAAACUAUUGACAUAUGGGAUUUACGACGAAACUUAUUGGACCCUAUAUCAACCACAAAUAUAGAUUCUUCAUUUCAUACCCUAGCAAACCAAGCAACAGUGCCAGGCAAUGAAUCAACUUUUUACCGAUAUUUGAACGACCAACCGACCAUGUGACCCGACGCACAGAGAUUGCUUUGCGCUUUAAAACAAUACCGAAUGUCCCAACGCAAUCAAGCAACGAGAGGAGCGACAGCCCAAACAGCACGCAAAUCAAAGGCAAAAGCUUUAACAACAAACGGCAGGAGGAGCAAAUAGCGGUGGAAUUGACUUGAAUGAAAACGUCCUUGCAUUUUGAGGUGUAAUUGAAUAAAGUAUCACAUACAUACAACUGUGAAAACACAAUUCAUGCUCUCGCUUCAAGUGACGGAUUAAAAGAUGGAUCAUAUCAACCAGCAUCAAAUAGCUUAAAAAGAGGUCAGCGACGAAGUCGGCUACAAGUUAACAAGCUUAAUACGCAUCAAUAAUAAAUGUUUUUAUUUAAACUAUAAUUAUCGUUCAUUUUUGUAGUGAAGUUGAAAUAAAUAUAUUUAAAAUUCCUACAGGGACAAUAUG